GACGAACGCUGGCGGCGUGCUUAACACAUGCAAGUCGAACGGAAAGGCCCUGCUUUUGUGCGGUGCUCGAGUGGCGAACGGGUGAGUAACCCGUGAGUAACCUGCCCUUGCCUUUGGGAUAACUUCAGGCAACUGGGGCUCAUACCGCCUAGGAGCUCUUGCUGCAUGGUGGGGGUUGGAAAGUUUCGGUGGUUGGUGAUGGACUCGCGGCGUAUCAGCUUGUUGGUGGGGUAGUGGAUUACCAAGGCUUUGACGGGUAGCCGGCCUGGGAGGGUGACCGGCCACAUUGGGACUGAGCUACGGCCCAGACUCGUACGGGAGGCAGCAGUGGGGAAUAUUGCACAAUGGGCGGAAGCCUGAUGCAGCAACGCCGCGUGCGGGAUGACGGCCUGCGGGUUGUAAACCGCUGUCGCCUGUGACGAGGCGUGAGUGACGGUAAUGGGUAAAGAAGCACCGGCUAACUACGUG
rnacentral:rRNA from 1 species